GAUGAUAAAACGCAUCUUCUCCAACUCUGCGGAGGUUUAGGUUUCCAGAAAAAGAGUCGGAGUAGUUAUCCUGCUCUUCAGCUGAGCGAGUCGGUCAGGAACUGGCAGUCGACGUGGUUCUACUGCCAAGACGUUGCCUGUCCGAACGCCUCUUCAGGGUUGCCCCCUUUUAGCCUUGAUCGUCCCGCUCCACCUAAACAGCUCGCGCUCACGAAGGCGGAGAAGCUCGACAUCCAGCCCUUGGUCGACGCACUCAUAGACGUCGUCAGGAGGGGAGUCACCGGCAUGGAUUUG
rnacentral:lncRNA from 1 species